UACGGAGGGUGCAAGCAUUAAUCGGAUUUAUUGGGCGUAAAGGGCGCGUAGGCGGAGAUAUAAGUCAGAUGUGAAAUCCUGGGGCUCAACCCCAGAACUGCAUUUGAAACUGUAUCCCUAGAGGAUAGGAGGAGAAAACGGAAUUCCACAGGUAGCGGUGAAAUGCGUAGAUAUGUGGAAGAACACCGGUGGCGAAGGCGGUUUUCUAUCUUAUUCCUGACGCUGAGGCGCGAAAGCAAGGGGAUCAAACAGG
rnacentral:rRNA from 1 species